rnacentral:rRNA from 1 species
GUACACUCCUGCGGGAGGCAGCAGUGGGGAAUAUUGGACAAUGGGCGCAAGCCUGAUCCAGCCAUGCCGCGUGAGUGAUGAAGGCCCUAGGGUUGUAAAGCUCUUUCACCGGAGAAGAUAAUGACGGUAUCCGGAGAAGAAGCCCCGGCUAACUUCGUGCCAGCAGCCGCGGUAAUACGAAGGGGGCUAGCGCUGUUCGGAAUUACUGGGCGUAAAGCGCACGUAGGCGGAUCGAUCAGUCAGGGGUGAAAUCCCAGGGCUCAACCCUGGAACUGCCUUUGAUACUGUCGAUCUGGAGUAUGGAAGAGGUGAGUGGAAUUCCGAGUGUAGAGGUGAAAUUCGUAGAUAUUCGGAGGAACACCAGUGGCGAAGGCGGCUCACUGGUCCAUUACUGACGCUGAGGUGCGAAAGCGUGGGGAGCAAACAGGAUUAGAAACCCGGGUAGUCCCAUGA